rnacentral:rRNA from 1 species
CCUACGGGUGACAGCAGUGGGGAAUAUUGCACAAUGGGGGAAACCCUGAUGCAGCGACGCCGCGUGAAGGAAGAAGUAUUUCGGUAUGUAAACCUCUGUCCUCUGUGAAGAUAAUGACGGUAGCAGAGGAGGAAGCUCCGGCUAACUACGUGCCAGCAGCCGCGGUAAUACGUAGGGAGCAAGCGUUGUCCGGAUUUACUGGGUGUAAAGGGAGCGUAGACGGCAGUGCAAGUCUGGAGUGAAAGGCGGGGGCUCAACCCCCGGACUGCUCUGGAAACUGUACGGCUGGAGUGCAGGAGAGGUAAGUGGAAUUCCUAGUGUAGCGGUGAAAUGCGUAGAUAUUAGGAGGAACACCAGUGGCGAAGGCGGCUUACUGGACUGUAACUGACGUUGAGGCUCGAAAGCGUGGGGAGCAAACAGGAUUAGAUACCCCAGUAGUC